GUGCUUGCUUCGGCAGCAUGUAUACUAAAAUUGGAACAAUACAGAGAUUAGCUGGCCCCCGCACAAGGAUGACAUGCAAAUUUAUGAAGCGUUCCAUAUUUUU